GACGAACGCUGGCGGCGUGCCUAAUACAUGCAAGUAGAACGCUGAAGGAGGAGCUUGCUCUUCUGGAUGAGUUGCGAACGGGUGAGUAACGCGUAGGUAACCUGCCUGGUAGCGGGGGAUAACUAUUGGAAACGAUAGCUAAUACCGCAUAACAUUGACUAUUGCAUGGUAGUCAAUUGAAAGGUGCAAAUGCACCACUACCAGAUGGACCUGCGUUGUAUUAGCUAGUUGGUGGGGUAACGGCUCACCAAGGCGACGAUACAUAGCCGACCUGAGAGGGUGAUCGGCCACACUGGGACUGAGACACGGCCCAGACUCCUACGGGAGGCAGCAGUAGGGAAUCUUCGGCAAUGGACGGAAGUCUGACCGAGCAACGCCGCGUGAGUGAAGAAGGUUUUCGGAUCGUAAAGCUCUGUUGUAAGAGAAGAACGAGUGUGAGAGUGGAAAGUUCACACUGUGACGGUAUCUUACCAGAAAGGGACGGCUAACUACGUGCCAGCAGCCGCGGUAAUACGUAGGUCCCGAGCGUUGUCCGGAUUUAUUGGGCGUAAAGCGAGCGCAGGCGGUUAGAUAAGUCUGAAGUUAAAGGCUGUGGCUUAACCAUAGUACGCUUUGGAAACUGUUUAACUUGAGUGCAGAAGGGGAGAGUGGAAUUCCAUGUGUAGCGGUGAAAUGCGUAGAUAUAUGGAGGAACACCGGUGGCGAAAGCGGCUCUCUGGUCUGUAACUGACGCUGAGGCUCGAAAGCGUGGGGAGCAAACAGG
rnacentral:rRNA from 1 species